AUUAGGCAUGCAAGUCGAACGAAGUAGCAAUACUUAGUGGCGCAAGGGUGAGGAACGCGUGAGUGACCUACCCGCAAGUUUGGAACAGCUCCUGGAAACGGGAAUUAAUACCGGAUGUGAUCAAUGAGCUGCAUGGUUUAUUGAUUAAAGCAGUAAUGCGCUUGCGGAUGGGCUCGCGUCCCAUUAGCUAGUUGGUGAGGUAACGGCCCACCAAGGCCAUGAUGGGUAGCUGGUCUGAGAGGACGACCAGCCACACUGGGACUGAGAACUGCCCAGACUCCGUACGGGAGGCUGCAGUCGAGUAAGUUUUGGGCAAUGGACGAAAGUCUGAACCCCAGCAAUGCCGCGUGCGGGAUGAAGGUCUUCGGAUUGUAAACCGCUGUUUGGAGGGACGAAAAUUGACGGUACUUCCAGAGAAAGCCACGGCUAACUACGUGCCAGCCGCAGC
rnacentral:rRNA from 1 species